rnacentral:misc_RNA from 1 species
AACCAUUCUCACCUGCGGCUAGACCUGCGGAAGGAUCAUUACAGAGUUAUCCAACUCCCAAACCCAUGUGAACUUAUCUCUUUGUUGCCUCGGCGCAAGCUACCCGGGACCCCGCGCCCCGGGCGGCCCGCCGGCGGACAAACCAAAACUCUUGUUAUCUUAGUUGAUUCUCUGAGCGUCUUAUUUAAUAAGUCAAAACUUUCAACAACGGAUCU